CCGGCCUCGGCCGCGCUGAGGAAGGGCGGGCGGCCUCUCCCGGCCCGGUGCCGCCGCCGCGGUGUGCGUCUGUAACGCUCAGGUCAUUGGUGGAACGCUGAGGAGUACCGGGCCCAGAGCAGCGCACGCAGCUCCGAACUGAGGGGGCUGAGGGAAAUAAACAUUUUCAGAAAAUGCAACUCCCCCGUCGGAAGGGAGUAAGCCCCCGCUUAAUCAGCCCACGGUUCCCACGUUACGGCAGCAGUCCUCGGGACGGCAGAACUGCAGCGCUCCUAUGUGCGCACUUUGCCUUUGGGAACGCAUCCCCUGGUUCCACGCGGACCCAAACGCAGGAGGGACCUGGAGCAGAGCAGAGCCGAGCCGCGCUCCAUACAACUGCUUUGACUUUUGACUGGCGUCACCCCUGCAGAACCCAUCCGUGUCAGCAGCAGCUCUGCGUUCUGCCACUUUCUGGGCGCCCCAGCAACCUGCCCUGUCCAUCGCAGAGAACAGGCAAACCCGCUGACGCAGAGGGCCAUGGAGGAGAUAGGGACCUCCUCCAAAUCAUACACCAAGGAUGAAAACAAAGCCCCGACUCCCAGACAAGCAUUCCCAACUGCUGCAGCCUGGCUGUACUUCACUGUUACUGGAAAGAGGGGACACAGAGAAGGCAGUGAGCACAAAGGGAAAAUAAGAACAGCGGUAAGAUGAAAACAUGGAACCCUACCUGUGUUCCUUGUAUUAGGUGCAGCUGUACCAAUCUUCAUGAUUAAUAAAGCAAGGUUAAUGUAUCUGGAGAUGAGGUUGGCAGGGAGAGGUGCAGAAACCAUUUAAUGAGAACUAAACAAAGAAACAAACCCAACCCCAAACAGCCCACCAAACCCUUCCUUCCCACAUUCCACCAGUACAUCCACGACGACCACCACUGCCCCGUGCCGAGGAGGCACCUUCCAUCAGAACAGCCGAGAACUGGUUCCUGGGGAUGGACGCAGGGUAGGGGAGAGGUCUUUGGCCAAGAAGUUUGCACAGCUGCUCUUCACGUGCACCCUGCGGCAAAACAGAGAGGUCCACACCACAGCUACCAGUCUACUUCCACGCAUAACAAAAGAACAAGUGGUUUGGGGUUCCACAGCAGGAUUGUCCCCAUUUUAUAGACUUUAUCCUAUACCUACAGGAUAGCGCACCUAUGUAUGCUGCUCCACAUCUGAUGCUCAAUCCCCUUUUUCAGGAUACCACCUAUUCUAUCGGAGAUGCUCAUUUCAGGAGUUUGCCUGGCCUCUGGUUACUGCAUCAGCCGCUCUCAGCUGGAGCUCAGGAGCCAAACGUAAUUAAAAGCACCAGCAGAAAAUAGGCCUUCCUACUUGGCUAUUGUCACAUCGUGCCUUACAUAAGGAGCAGAUUCUCCACUGGCCAUUCUAUGAUGAUAUGAUUCUCUGAAAUCCCCAUGCAGAGAUCUUGCCUCAGUUAACUUGCCUAAUCCUCCGAGGAAGGUUCCUCUGCUCUCUGGAACAUCACAGAGGUGUCUUCAACAGUUUGCAGAGAUUCCUUCAGAGGCUUAAAACCAUCAGCCAAGAACUGCUCUGACGUUCUGAAGAACCCGCAGCUCCCAUCUGGCUUUAAUUUCAGCCGUACAGUUCAAUUCCUAGAAAGUGCUGCACAUUUAAAAAUGCUUACCCUAUUUCUCAAGGAAAAUUCCCACAGAUGUUUCUUCCUCAAAUCUAUUAUGGAAACAACUCUACAGAUCUUGCUGUACUGGGAAUGUCAGUGAUGGCCAUUCUGCAAUACUGCCUCGGGAUGCUGAUGGGUUACCCAAGCAUACCUCUUUUAUUGAAAGGUACAUUAUUCUCCAAUAAAAUAGACUAAACCCAA